UUCAAGGUAGCCCCUUGGACCAGUCCACACAAGAGAUCCACUUCCUGGACAUUAGAGUGCUAAUAAGCGAUGGUCACAUAAAUACCACCCCUUACCAGAAACCUACGGACUGCUAUAUUUGCAUACGUGCCUCCAGCUUUCAUCCAGACCACACCACAAGAUCCAUUGUCUACAAGCAAGCUCUACAAUUCAAUUGUAUUUGCUCCAACCCCUCAGACAGAGACAAAUACCUACAAGAUCUCUAUCGGGCGUUCUUAUAACUGCAAUACCCACCUGCUGAAGUGAAGAAACAGAUUGACAGAGCCAGAAAAGUAC